rnacentral:piRNA from 1 species
UGUUGGAUUCAAAGCUUUGGUU